GAAACCAAAACAAUAAUAACAAUAAAACGAUGGCAAAAUUCCAGGAAUAAAGUUGUAUAAAUGUUGGCGUUUUACGUAAAAGUUUUAAGCAGAGAAUCAGAAUUUAUAGAAUAUUUUUUUUUAUAUUAAAGGACUUGUUGCAUAAGAAAAUGGGUAACGAAAACGCAGUUCCAGUAGUUUCUCAAGUCAAGUCUCUCUUCCAAGCUAUCGGAGGCGAUCUUGAGGGAGCUCAAAGGACACAGGAGGAAUUUUCCAAACAAUGUCCAGUCGUGUCCCAAAUGCGAUCAGCUGUGGAAGCAAUGACCGGUGAUUCUGAUGCAGCAAAAGACACACAAAAAGAGUUUGUGAAAGGAAUUAUCGAGGGGACAUCUAAUUAAUCUCGGCAUUGAUAAAUGAUAUUGUCAAAAUAUUCAUCUGAUUGCUGUAUGACAAAUUGUGAAUAAAACCGCUAAAAAUAUAAGGGUACAAUUACAGUUUUUGAAAAUAUUAUUUACACAAAUUUCCUUUUAAAAAAAAAUAUAAAAAAGGAAAAGUA